rnacentral:rRNA from 1 species
UAGAGUUUGAUUCUGGCUCAGAAUAAACGCUGGCGGCAUGCUUAACACAUGCAAGUCGUACGAGAAAGUCUCCUUCGGGGGGCGAGUAAAGUGGCGGACGGGUGAGUAACACGUAAGAACCUGCCCUUUGGUUUGGGAUAACGUCGCGAAAGCGGCGCUAAUACCAAAUGAUGUCUACGGUCCAAAGAGGGCGAAAGCUCUCGCCAGAGGAGGGGCUUGCGUCCCAUUAGCUUGUUGGUGAGGUAAUAGCUUACCAAGGCGACGAUGGGUAGCCGGCCUGAGAGGGUGUACGGCCACACUGGAACUGAGAUACGGUCCAGACUCCUACGGGAGGCAGCAGUGGGGAAUAUUGGUCAAUGGGCGAAAGCCUGAUCUAGCAACACCGCGUGUGCGAUGAAGGCCUUCGGGUUGUAAAGCACUUUUUGGAGGGAAUAGGAAGGAAGGUACCUCCAGAAUAAGUCUCGGCUAACUACGUGCCAGCAGCCGCGGUAACACGUAGGAGGCAAACGUUAUCCGGAUUCACUGGGCGUAAAGCGCGUGUAGGUGGUUCUGUAAGUAGGGCGUGAAAGCUCCCGGCUCAACUGGGAGAGGCCGUACUAAACUGCAGAGCUAGAGGAUGGUAGAGGGAGGUGGAAUUCCAGGUGUAGUGGUGAAAUGCGCAGAUAUCUGGAGGAACACCAGUGGCGAAGGCGGCCUCCUGGACCAUUCCUGACACUCAGACGCGAAAGCUAGGGUAGCAAACGGAAUUAGAGACUCCGGUAGUCCUAGCCCUAAACGAUGCAGACUAGGCGUCGGCGGUUUAAUCACCGUCGGUGUCCAAGCUAACGCGAUAAGUAUGCCGCCUGAGGACUACGGCCGCAAGGCUAAAACUCAAAGGAAUAGACGGGUCCCCGCACAAGCAGCGGAGCGUGUGGUUUAAUUCGAUGCUCCGCGAAGAACCUUACCUGGGUUUGACAUAACAGUGGUAGAGAAGUGAAAACGGAUCGACCCUUCGGGGAGCUGUUACAGGUGUUGCAUGCCUGUCGUCAGCUCGUGUCGUGAGAUGUUCGGUUAAGUCCGCUAACGAGCGCAACCCGCGCUGUGUGUUACAAGUGUCACACAGUACCGCCGGUAUUAAGUCGGAGGAAGGUGCGGAUGACGUCAAGUCAGCAUGACCUUUAUAUCCAGGGCUACACACACGCUACAAUGGUCAGAACAAUAGGUUGCCAAGCCGCAAGGCGGAGCCAAUCCUCCAAAUCUGGCCUCAGUUCAGAUUGCAGGCUGCAACUCGCCUGCAUGAAGUCGGAGUUGCUAGUAACCGCAGGUCAGCAUACUGCGGUGAAUAAAUUCCCGGGGAUUGUACUCACCGCC